GAUCAAGCGCGAAAAGGGCGUUUGGUGGAUGCCUAGGCAGUAAGAGGCGAUGAAGGACGUGAUACUCUGCGAUAAGCCAUGGGGAGUUGAGAAUAAGCUUUGAUCCAUGGAUUUCCGAAUGGGGCAACCCACCUGAAACUUCGUUAUUGUUGCUCGCAAGAGCACUCAAUAGCGCUGUUAACCAGGUACUUCUAACCUGAAUACAUAGGGUUAAAAGAGCAAACCCGGGGAACUGAAACAUCUAAGUACCCGGAGGAAAGGACAUCAACAGAGACUCCGCUAGUAGUGGCGAGCGAACGCGGACCAGCCGAGCCUUGAGUGUGACCAGAACGAGUUGGAAAACUCGGCCAGAGCGGGUGACAGCCCCGUAUGGGAAGCAUGAUAGGACGUAUCAAGUAGGGCGGGACACGUGAAAUCCUGUCUGAAGAUCGGGGGACCACCCUCGAAGGCUAAGUACUCCUUACUGACCGAUAGCGAACCAGUACCGUGAGGGAAAGGUGAAAAGCACCCCGACGAGGGGAGUGAAACAGUACCUGAAACCGAACGCCUACAAUCAGUCGGAGCUCCCUUGAGGAGUGACGGCGUACCUUUUGUAUAAUGGGUCAUCGACUUGGUCUCACGAGCAAGCUUAAGCCGGUAGGUGUAGGCGCA
rnacentral:rRNA from 1 species